GUUUCUGUAGUGUAGUGGUUAUCACGUUUGCCUAACACGCAAAGCUCUUCGGUUCGAAACCGAGCAGAAACA
rnacentral:tRNA from 1 species